AGGGGAGAUAACUCUUUUAGUACAAAAUUUAUACUGGGCUAAUAGGGAAUUUUUUUAUUUUUACCUGUGGCAAUAAAACAAGUUCGGUGACACCAUGUUUUCUUUUUAUUUUCUUAAAACAUAUUAUGAAACCUAUCUUCUCACAAUUUAUUUCAAAAUUCUAUCUCAUAGAAAUUUUUUUCUGCACUCUUAUGUGUUUUUUCAUGAACAAACUAACCAAAUUUAGGCAAUUUUCAACGACUCAUAGCUUGAAAAAUAGCACGGUGACCCAUAC
rnacentral:lncRNA from 1 species